GCGUCUGUAGCUCAUUUGGAUAGAGCGCCUGGCUACGAACCAGGAGGUAGGAAGUUCGAAUCUUUCCAGACGCGCCA
rnacentral:tRNA from 1 species